AGAGUUUGAUCCUGGCUCAGAACGAACGCUGGCGGCAUGCCUAAUACAUGCAAGUCGAACGAGAAAGUUCCUUCGGGAGCGAGUAAAGUGGCGCACGGGCGAGUAACACGUAGGUGACCUACCUAGUAGAGUGGGAUAACAGUAAGAAAUUAUUGCUAAUACCGCAUAAGUUCGCUGAAAGUGGAAGUAAGCGAAGAAAAGAUGGCCUCUAUUUAUAAGCUAUCGCUACAUGAAGGGCCUGCGGCUCAUUAGCUAGUUGGUGGGGUAAAGGCCUACCAAGGCUAUGAUGAGUAGCCGGUCUGAGAGGAUGAUCGGCCACACUGGAACUGAGACACGGUCCAGACUCCUACGGGAGGCAGCAGUAGGGAAUAUUGCGCAAUGGGCGAAAGCCUGACGCAGCGAUGCCGCGUGAGUGAGGAAGGCCUUCGGGUUGUAAAGCUCUGUCGUAAGGGAAAAAUGGAUUAUAUGUGAAUAAUAUAUAGUUUUGAUGGUACCUUAAAAGAAAGCACCGGCUAACUUCGUGCCAGCAGCCGCGGUAAUACGAAGGGUGCAAGCGUUGUUCGGAUUUAUUGGGCGUAAAGGGCGCGUAGGCGGGUAUGCAAGUCAGAUGUGAAAUCUCGGAGCUCAACUCCGAAACUGCGUCUGAAACUGCUUAUCUAGAAUAUCAUAGAGGGUAAGGGAAUUUCGCAUGUAGGAGUAAUAUCCGUAGAGAUGCGAAGGAACACCGGAGGCGAAGGCGCUUACCUGGAUGAUGAUUGACGCUGAGGCGCGAAGCGUGGGGAGCAAACAGGAUUAGAUACCCUGGUAGUCCACGCCGUAAACGAUGAGAACUAGCUAUAGGUCAGGUUACUGAUCUGUGACGUAGCAAACGCAUUAAGUUCUCCGCCUGGGGAGUACGGUCGCAAGAUUAAAACUCAAAGGAAUUGACGGGGGCCCGCACAAGCGGUGGAUCAUGUGGUUUAAUUCGAAGGUACACGCAAAACCUUACCUGGGUUUGAAAUCGUACGAAUCUAACAGAGAUGUUGGAGUGCCCUUCGGGGAAUGUAUAGACAGGCGCUGCAUGGCUGUCGCCAGCUCGUGUUGUGAAAUGUUGGGUUAAGUCUCGCAACGAGCGCAACCCCUGCUUCCAGUUGCCAGCAUUAAGUUGGGCACUCUGGAGGGACUGCCUGGGUUAACCAGGAGGAAGGUGGGGAUGACGUCAAGUCCUCAUGGCCCUUAUGUCCAGGGCUACACAUGUGAUACAAUGGACGGUACAGAGGGAAGCAAGACCGCGAGGUGGAGCCAAUCUCAAAAAACCGUUCUCAGUCCGGAUUGAAGUCUGCAACUCGACUUCAUGAAGUUGGAAUCGCUAGUAAUCGCGGAUCAGCAUGCCGCGGUGAAUACGUUCCCGGGUCUUGUACACACCGCCCGUCACGCCAUGGGAGUUGACUCCACCUGAAGCCGUAACCCUAACCUGCAAAGGAAGGGAGCGUCCACGGUGAGGUUGAUGACUGGGGUGAAGUCGUAACAAGGUAACC
rnacentral:rRNA from 1 species